GCUGAGGGUGGGGCUUUGAGGGUGGGAACAAAUCAUGGAACAAAUGAACCAAUGUAGCUACUAGCUAGCUGAGCUAUCCCCAAAGCUAGACGAAACUAGGGCAGCUGACCUGCGUGACUGCCUGGGUUAUUGUGGUACACUGAUGAUUUUCGUGUUUUCGUUGUAUCCAUGUUCAUAUGCAUGACCUAGCUCAGAUGUUUUUUGUGUGAUUUUAUUGUGCAUUGUGACUUCCAGUUGAUUUAACUUUUUAGCAUUUUUUAUCUCAGAUGUAUUUCAUUAGUUGUUUGCUUUGCUCGUCUAUUUCCCUGAUUGUACAGCAUUUUAGUGGAUUUUAUUGUGUAUAAAGAGCUCUCUAUAUAAAUCUGGAUAGGAUUGGAUGCUGUAAGACACACCUGGACAUGCAUGGGCAAAAAACAUAAUCAGUCCCAAUGGCUGAUAGAAAUGUUCUAUUGUGAGUUUUAAAGAACAUUUCGUAAAGGGAUGAAAAAAUAAAGUGGGAAUUCAAUUAUUUAAGUUCAAAUUUUAAAAAUAAACAAAUCACAGACUGAGAGCAUAACGAAUGUCUACAUUAGAAGUCGUGAUAACUUGUUAUUUUCCAUCUUGAAUCCUAAAAGGUCAGAAAUGUUUUUAAUUGAAGUAAUGACCUGAAAAGUUCUACAUUCUUGAGCUUUUAAUGAGAUCAGUCAAUAAAAACAACAAAAUACACAAAAGGAUAAACCUGUUAAAGUGGCAGUAAACAUUUUUUUUUCUCUCUUGGGUGUCAUUGAUGGUUCAGAGUAAGAAGCUGCUCCUUCAGUCAGGACUGAGUUCGUUUUGCCGUUUGUGAAGGAACAGCUCUCGGGAGACAACAGGAAGUGAUGGGUUGUUUGUUUUUUCAGCACCAUUAGAUGGCAGUUAUUUCAGUCUGUGUGGGCGGGGAGCUCAGAUGUGUAAACUGAGAAGAGGAAAACCACAUUACAGGCUCAUUAGCUGAUUCUGGCGUGGAGACCCAGGAUGGAGUUCUUGGUUUUUGUUGCCACAUGGGGCUGUUGUUACACAGCAGGGGCAACAGGGAACACCACUGUUCCUCAACACACUGAAAGGCUGAUGUGAUGCUGCAGUUUCAGACUGUUUUAGGGUUCAUGUUGGAUUUGUAGAGCUUGUUGUGAAUUUGGUUUGUGACCAUCUAAGAUCUCUUUUAUUCAGCAUUUCUUUUUGAGACUUGAGUGGAGAAUUACAAAAGAAAAACCACCAAUUAACCCUCGUCUGGAUCACAAUUUUAAAGGGAGUGGAGUCUCCCUCUUAUCCUGGAGGCUGUGUUAGCUAGAGGCUCCCAGUCAGACCUCAGAGUGAUUAACACACCCUGAUUAAGGAGGACCUCAGCAAACAGGACAUGGGAUAGGAAAACAAGGGCACCCUUCAGGAACAAGGCUCAGGUGGGAGAUUAUUAAAAAAAAAUCCUCUCCAAGCACAAAGCCGCUGUAGGGACCCGAGACAAGAGACAAUAAUAUAAAGAAAAAACACUCAGUGCUCCCUUUAACUAAAGCUCAUACACACGUCACCCAGAAGUGAGUAAACCCCCCGACAAACUCCUACAGCGGAUACUCUAAAAGAAACUAGCCUCCCAGAGACAGCACUGUGCUUAACGCUAACCACCCGACUCAAACAAGUUUACUUCCUUCCCCCUCUGGAGAAAGACGAUUAGUAAUAAGAUAAACCAGCAAACGGUUUAAUAAAAGAACUAGAAAAGAUUUAAUAAAAGAACUGGAAAAACAGUAGCAGGCUAAGGUCUGUGAACAAAACACGCAUUGUUAGUCCUAUUCUAACGAAACAUAAAAAUGCUGUGAAUGUUAUAAACCAGUACCUCAUCGGCCGACCGCUUGCCAAUGAAAAUUCCGGCUGUUCACCCCUCAGUCCUGCUCACACUUCAUAAAGAGGAACCGAUUAAAAAUAUAACCGUUAACUAAACUGAAGCAAAGCCAGGUCACUCACCACUUAGCCGCACCCACGUCCGCACCCAAAGCGAAGCAUUCAGCUUUUGCGGCUAGACCCCAGCUGCCCUAAUUAUAGCAGCCCUCUGAUUACACACCUGGCCUCCCCUGUGUCAGCGGCAUGACGGGUAUAACCAGAAUAACUUCCAGGAACUCAGGUGACCCGGUUACAUCAAGGUUCUGGAGUGGCCUAGCCAGUCUACAGACAUAAAUCCAAUAGAACAUUUUUAGAGGGAGCUGAAACUAUGUUGCUCAGGAGCAGCCCCAAAACCUGACAGAUCUAGAGGAGACCAGUGUGGAGGGGUGGGCCAAAACCUCUGUUGCGGUGUGUCUAAACCUGGUCAAGACCUACCGGAAACGUUAGAUCUCUGUAAUUGCAAACAAAGGCUUCUGUACCAGAUAUUAACAGAUUUUCUCAGGUGUUCGAGUACUUGUGCAGCAGUGCAAAACAAAUAAAUCACACAAUGUGAUUGCUUGCAAAAAAAAAAAAAAAAGAAUAAAUUAUAUGGUGACUGUCUCAGCAGGAAUGUACCUACUAUAUGAAUUUCUAAGUGGGAGAACUUGCAAAAAUGGCAGGGUGCUCAAUUACUUAUGUUCCUCACGGUACAUCUCCAUUAUUUUGUUGUAUGAUAAAACAUUUUUGUUUUAUUUUGACCAUGUCACCAGUGCACCAGCAUUUUGCUGAGGUAAUUAUUAAUUACCCUAUGUAUUAUAAAUAACAAAUAUAUGUGAUGUAAGAUGCUGCUGGUGCACCAAACACACACAACCUAACUGUUCAUGUUUGAGAUUUGCAUCUUAAACUGACCUUUUAAAAGCAUCAGAGAUUUGUUUUGUUUCAGAUUGUGUGUUCAUAAGCAGCUGAUUGCUGGUAUGUCUAUUUUUUCCGCAGCACAUUUAUCAAAUCAGAAACUUAUGAAACAAUCGUGAUGUUCUGACAGAUUAUCUGAUGCCUUCUACUGAUGUAUUUUUUGUCUCUGUUAAAACGAUAAACAUGUUUUUCAGUGGAGAUAUAACUUUUAUCAGAGCUAUGUAAAGACCUCAACCACCAGGCUGAAGGACUCUGCUCCCUCUCUACCCAUCCAGCCCUCUAUCUACCUAGCCACCACAGCUGCGUCGGGGCACACUGACAGAGGUGAGUCUGCUGUACACAGAUGCCACCGGUCUCUCUGAACACCACCAGCAGGCAAGGUGGGUUAAGUGUCUUGCCAAAAAACAUGACAGCGGCAUACUGAGCAGGGCUCGUUCUUGCAACCUUCAGACUACGGGGCGAGCUCUUAAAGAGCAAGUAACGUCUAAAUUAACUUUUUUUUGCUGAUGAACUGUAUAAAUGAGUGUCUAAUAGUGUUUUAAAUGUGUGCAUUCUUUAUUUUAGCAUUUUGGUGCAUUUUCUUUAAAAAUUAAAAAUUCUGCCUAAAUACCACAGUAUAGCGCCACCUUCAGCUUAAAAUAUAGAAUUUGACUCAUUUUGAAUCAAUUUUAGCCAAUGGCUAAAGAGUAAGAUACUAUGUAAACCAGUAGAGUACUACGUAGCAGCUCUGUGUCAAAGUUAUAAAAGGAUCGAGCGUCUCGGCCACGCCUUGUGGCGAGUUGGGAGUUGGAUUUGCAAGCGAGCGUAGGAGGUUAGUGGUAGUUCAGCCUUAGCAUAUAGCGUUAGCAUAUCCUAGUCUUUAGCAUAGCUUUUAGUGUUAUACAUACUUAUUUAGUGUUAGUUUGGCUGUUGGAUAUUGUAGUUUAGUUAGCGUUUGGCUGUUAGUGUAAUUGGGAAAGUAGUUUGGGUUUAGUGCUCCAUAUUGUGUUAGUAUGGUGAGUAGGUGUAGUGUAGUAUGGUUGCAGUGGCUCUGUGGACAUUUUACCCUCGAUUCUGCACGUCUCCGUUUGAAGAGGGAGGCUGUGCCCACCGUGGCUCUUCCGCGAUUUAGAUGCAGCCCACCGACUCUGCUCCCCCACCACGGCGGGCUCCAGUCUGAGGUGAGUACGCUAAAUAAACGUUUUAACAUCUUCUAAAGACAAUUCCCUACCUAAAUGCAAAGUCUGAGAGACGUGGUUCACUUCCUUUAGCUAGUCAGUCGGCAGUUCUGCAACAGUGGCUCUAACUGACGCAGCACUAGUUGACACACAGCAUUACAGUGUGAAAUCCAGCUUGUGACCCGGUUCUGUAAGGAACUCCGUUCAGGAGGUCACAUUUCAGGCUCUCCACAUCAUAUGUGACUGACUUUUACGUUAUAACAACGAUCACACACUAGGAAUGUUAUAAAGCGCCUUUAUAGGACAGUUUCUUUUGUAUAUUAUCUGACUUUAUAAACUCCCAACAACAAUGUGCUUCUAUUUUUUUUUUCAGGCUAAAUCUACCCAAGACACUGGCUGUCAGACUGAUUUAGCUGCAAGAAUGUACUUGUCCAGGCUGACGUGAAGCCUUACCCGUAGCAAAGCCAGCCAGAAUGGAGUUCACAGCCGCAGUGUGUCUGGUGACCCACAGGGACCAUGAUGGAAAUUCAUCUUCCAAAAAGUCCCAGAGCAGCGUCCACACCCCUGAAAAGACCAAGAUGUGAGGUGUCUGCUGUUGAUUCCAGCUUCCACCUCAGUGACAGUGCAAGCUCAGUGAACUGUUCAAGGACACUCAGCAAAAUAUGGACUCUACACCAUGAGGAAGGCACACGUUAAUACUUAUAAGAGCACAUAAGCAUGAGGAUGUCCUCACACACCUGUAACCUAUCAGCUCAUCUGGCAGAAUAGAGAGAGAAGAGACAACACCACAUCUCCUGUUCCUGGUAAGCCUUCAGCCAUCCUUCGAUGACUGAGAACCUCCAUCAGCUCUGUCUCUUGUCUGCCUACUAUUAUUAUAAUAAAUAUUGUGUUUGACAAGUUUUUUGUGCUGCCAAAUAUCUCAUAUAGAUUCCAGUUUUGAUAUUUUCAUGGAUAUUUAUAAAUUACAUUAAUUAUCACAUUUUUGUUGCAUGUUUAACUAGCUCUAUUGUGAUGAAUUAAACUAGCACAUCUCCGUUAAAAGCUCGUUUUAAUUUCAAGCAUGUUUAAGUAUUUAUGGACAUGAACAAAAACAGGAAAUAUAUAAAUUGAGAUUUAUUUAAUUAAUAUAACAAAUAAGGGGGAAAGAGUCAUUGAAAGGCACAUUCUUCUGGAAGCUCCUGAUCCUGACGACACCAGAGACCAGCUGCUGACACCAGAGGACCUAGAACCAAGAGAGCAGCUGUUAUCAGUAAAUAAAUAAAUCAGGGCAGUUUUAGUGGGCUGAACACAUUACAGAAUAAUUUUCUCAUGGGGUAUUUUCAUAACUUUCUAUGCAGCAGACUGUAACUUGAGCCCAGGGCUACCGGAGAGCUGCUAUCCAGCACGUUUCAGUGGAUUUUCCUGCUUUAACAGGUUAGAUUAGCUGUUAAGCAGCUCAGCUAUUUGUUGCUGAUUAAAACCAGGUGUGUUGAAGCAGAUAAACCUCUAAAACAUGCUGAAUACUAGCUUUUUAGGGCCGUGGAGCCAAACCCUGCAGCUAAUCCAAUGCUAUGGCUAACGGCUACUUACCAUUCAGAGCUGGUUCUGUUGGGUCGGUUCCGCUAGUUUCAGGCAACUCACAAGCUCAAAACAAUAAGGCUCAGGUCCGCUUGUCUCCUCCAAAUAGACUUGGUCCCUUUCUUCUCGAGUGUCUGGGUAAGGAGGGGGAGAAACGUCCUCCACUUCUAAUAACUGCUCAGAGUGAAGGGAGCUAGCUUCAUCUAGUUAGCCAUCGUCUUCGUCACUGCCGUGGCUCCGCCCUCCCGGUCCUCCAGGCAACGCCUACUAAUGUUGCAGUUUUUAAAAUUGAUACGUGGGUGGAGAAGGACUCCGAGGCUCACUUGACCCGCUCUUUAAAUUCUGUACCACCGUCACUGUUGUCAAAACAAACAAGUAAUGAAUCAAUGGACAAGAAUAAUCUGCUUCUUUCUUUAUUUAUGCUUUUAAAUUUUAUUUUUUUACAAAAACACAAUAAGUAGUUUAAUUUUUACAACCAGACUGAAAACUGAGUGAUUUUGAUUCAUGCUGACUAAACGUGAGACCACAGAUGGUGGCAACAUAAUGGACUGGAAGUAAAAAGGGGAAAUCCUGAAGCUCAGGGUUUAACUGUCCACAUCCUCCUUCUGCUAACCUCCAUCACUUAUCUAUAGAUUCAACAACCAUUCAUGAGGAGGGAUAGUCUGAUUGUCACUGAACCACUUGACAACAUCUUGGUAAUUAAAAAGAACUUGGCUUUGUGAAAUUAUGUAAACAUUAAAAUUUCCCCAGAGACUGAUGUGGAAUGUGCCUGGCUGUGCUCUCAUCAAACCAACCUCGAACAAGGCAGUCAUCAACCAGCACAGCAUGAUUUGGUCUUACAUGUUUCUUCCAGACUCGUGGGGUUUCCCCCUGUGACCUCUGUUACUGGUCUGCUAACAGUCUAACUCUCCAGUCCAUUAUUUUGUUUAAAGCCAAAGGGGUCAGAAACAAAGUGGAACAUCCGUGGACUCCCUGAGUUUCUGCACAAGCUGGUGAAUGGCCUGUAUUUCAUAUAGUGCCUUUUAGAGGCCCAUAACCCCCCAAGGUGCUUUCUAACGCAAUCAGUAAUUCACACAUUCACACCCUGAUGGUGAACUACAACAUAGCCACAGCUGCCCUGGGUUUGACUGACAAAGGGGAGGUUCCCGAACGCUGGCGCCACCAGUACCUCUGACCACCGUCAAAUGCGGGUUAAAUGGCUUGCUCAAGGACAUAAUGACAGCAGCAUGUUGAGCGGGGCUUGAACCUGCAACCUACUGAUUAUGGGGAGGACAUUUAGCUCCUCUGCCACCAUUGCCCCACUAUGACGAGUUAUUCACGGUUUCAAAUCAAUCAAAUCAAAUCAAAGAUACUUUAUUAAUUCCAGAGGGAAAUUAGAAUUUCAGUACACACAAUUCAGAGAUCAGACAUACAUGGAUGGGCAAGUCACAUGACAAGAAUUGGUGACUGUGGUCAUUCGCAACCAGAGUCACGCUACCUUAAUAGAGAUAAGAGGGUAACAUGGGGAAUUCAUUCGGGAGGAGGGACAAAAAGGCACUUCACAGCCACCCUCCCACCAAAACACCUCAAACAGAUAUGUAACAGACUUCAGACAACACAACAUGAGACUCCAAUAGGAAAGGGGGGGGGCUGGGCUGGGAUCCUGUUUCCCCCAGCGAGAGCAGCCAUCUACGCCGCUCAGCCACUGUAGUCACAGGUUGGAGGGAGAUCUUGGGAGAAGCGCAGAGCACAUUGACUCCUGCAGGUGGAUGAUCUAGCCAGGCUGAAGUCCACCAAUCCCAAGGCGGGGUGGGGUGGGGAUGGGGGGGUAGGUCGGGUUUUCACAGCAUCUGUCUGCAUUCCUUCGUGGGGGUUUGUAGCCGCUCAAGGCUGCUAGGGCGUCAGAUUCGGAUAACAAGACUUUGUUUGGGUCAGGCUGUGAUAAUUUUUCUGUCUGCCUUCAGUCUUUAAACUGAUCAUUCCAGUCCUUCAGUGAAGCUAAUUUGGGUUUUUAAACUGGUCCAUACCAUCCGGUGACCCUCUCUGAGAUGACAUCCAUUUUGCGCACUAAUACCAGUAUCGCAGCAAGAACAUUGUCCAGCUUACGAUUCACCUCGAGUAACGUCCCAGUCUGUGAAGUCUCCACACGUACGGUGCUUUACUUGGGUGCAGGCCGCCCUCUAAUCACUCCUGUCUUCCCAAAUUUCCAGAAAAUCAGAUAUCCUCCCACUCCAAUCAGGAGAAAUCCAGUGAUCAUCAGACCGAAUAUCCACACGUCUUCGACAUCCUCAAUGGACAGCUGGGAGAGGCAUAUGAUCUUCCAUUCCCUUCAGGAAUCCAGCAUAUACCCCACCGGGUGUGUCCCCUGUGGGCAUGUGGGAGCUCCGUUCUCAUUGUUGAAAAAAUCUUAUCAAUCGCGUUGAAUGACCAAAUCCAUGGUGAAAAAUAGGGGUUUUCAGAAGAAAUGCAGAGAAGCGCUCUGUGGGCAGACAGGACAAAGAGCCUUGGGAAAAAAGAUAAGGGAGCAAAAAGAGAAGUGUCGGUACUCCGCGAGUGCCAGGAAGAAAGGUUUUAUUUUAUGAAUGUUUUUGGUCCUAAAUAACUUGUCUAAAUGGGGGCUGCAUGGUGGUGCAGUUGGUAUUGGCUGAAUGUCUGUGUGUCCCUAUGAUGGACUAGAGACCUGUCCAUGGCCUCUCUGGCUCUGGCCCGUGUUGACCCUACUGAGGAAAGGUUGUAAAAAUGAGUGAGUGAGAGUAAUGCAUGCAUUUUGUUGCCAUUUUCUGUUGUUCCACAGGAAAAACCAAACAGUACAGGCCUCCUGCUAUAGAACAUAGGUUAAAGGUUAUUAAAGGUCUGCAGUUGGGGAAUACAGAAGACAGAAAUAGCAUGUAAUUAAAAAAGCUGCUGGACAAAAAGCUAGGAAGAAAAAACUCAUACAAACUCAGGUCCAGAUGUACCAACUAUAUGCUGUGCUUUGUCUUUUGCACUUCAUUUGCACCUACUCUAUGCACCUUCUCAGCCUCCAACUGGAUUCCUUUAAAGGUGUGGAACUCUGAAAAAACAUUUUUUAAGUAUUACUUCACUCUUGAGUUGCAGGCUGAGCAUGAAAAUAGUUUCCUACACCUAUCUCCUGCAACAUCUUCUGAUAGAAAUUUGAUGGUGAAAAUGUAGUAUUAGAAAAUCCUGAUAGAUCUGCGUCACACUGUCACUUAUCAUUCAUGAACUCACCCAUCUUGACUCACGACGGGUAAGGCUGUUGUUGGUUUAGCGUCUAGGAAACAGCUGAGAUUGUCUCGAUUAGUAUAUGCUAACCAUUAGCAUUACCAACUCCGUCACAUGGCAGAAGCUUCUCCAGGCUUGUGUUAUUUGUGGAAACAAAACAUCCAUGUUGCAAGUCAGUGGAAGUCACAUCACUGUUAUCCAAUCCAGGGUGAGAUGUCCAAGUGUCAGGAAAUAAGACUCCAAAAUCUGCUGUCUGAAGCUCAGCUCGGAUGUGGUUGACUUUUAUGUCCUAGAAAUGGCGCACCGGUAGCCUAUAUUUUCCCCCUGAGGAUGAAUUACAAGGCAUACUAGACGCCACUGCAAAUGCGUUGAUUAAACAAGCGUUCCACUAAAAAAAUGUUCCAUGAUCACUCGGCUUCUUAAAACAUCAGCUAGCCAUGACAACGCAAUUAUGACAAUGUGUUCACUUGAAGAACAAAUAAAUUAUGUUUUCCUGACAUGCCUACCCUUUUAUUGUGAAAGCAACAAUGCAGUAGCAACUCCCUUCACUCAGUUUCUUUCCUAAGAUGCAAAUAGCUCCAGCCCUCAGCAGGCAGAAUUAUGGGGAGGAUUUGUGAACUUUGUACAUUUCUGUUACAACUGCGAUAAAAGUUUUGGUUAUAUCAAUCCUUCUAAAUGCUCAUAAAAAUAAAUAUUUUAAUAUUAAAUGUAACUUAUGACAUUAUAUUGGAUUAGAUUAAAGAAAUAAUGACUUCUAUUCAGUUGUUAAGCUGUGUUUUAGCCAUCAUGUUACCAGCAACAUUUAACUAUUUGUUCCCCUUCAGUUACAGAUAACAAAGGUUGAUAGAUAUAUAAUGUACCCGACAAAGGGAUUCUUACAGGUGUUGGCUCUGGCUGUAUUGUAACAUAUCAAAAUGUAUUUUUAACAAUUACUUCUCAUUCACACCAUUUAUACAAAUAGAAAAGUGUAAAACAUUGUUUUGAAUGGAUUGUUCAGCCCAGAUUUCAUCAGUAAUAAAUACAUGUAAAGACAAACCUAUGGAAAUUUUAAAGUUAGUAUUGUACAAUGUAAUGAAAAAUCCAAUUGUGGUGCUGAUUACAUCAUACAUGGAUGUAGGUUUGACUUUAGAAGUAGGGGGUACACAACCGGCAGGAGGACCAAAGGGGUGGGGGUAUCUUUACAGCAAGUAGCCUAUACAAAACAUAUUUAUGAAACUACAGCCUAGAGGCUUUUUUAUGUAAUGUCAGGAAUGCAGAACUGUGAAGUACACAGGUGGCAGGAGCAGCCAAUCACACAUUAAU